UACGAAGGGGGCUAGCGUUGCUCGGAAUCACUGGGCGUAAAGGGUGCGUAGGCGGGUCUUUUAAGUCAGGGGUGAAAUCCUGGAGCUCAACUCCAGAACUGCCUUUGAUACUGGCGAGCUUGAGUUCGGGAGAGGUGAGUGGAACUGCGAGUGUAGAGGUGAAAUUCGUAGAUAUUCGCAAGAACACCAGUGGCGAAGGCGGCUCACUGGCCCGAUACUGACGCUGAGGUGCGAAAGCGUGGGGAGCAAACAGG
rnacentral:rRNA from 1 species